rnacentral:rRNA from 1 species
UACGUAGGGGGCAAGCGUUGUCCGGAUUUUAUUGGGCGUAAAGAGCGUGUAGGCGGCCGUACAGGUCAGCUGUGAAAACUCGGAGGCUCAACCUCGAGACGUCGGUUGAAACCGUACGGGCUAGAGUCCGGAAGAGGAGAGUGGAAUUCCCGGUGUAGCGGUGAAAUGCGCAGAGUAUCGGGAAGAACACCCCGUGGCGAAG